rnacentral:rRNA from 1 species
UACGGAGGGUGCAAGCGUUAAUCGGAAUUACUGGGCGUAAAGCGCACGCAGGUGGCUGAGUAAGUCGAUUGUGAAAGCCCUGGGCUUAACCUGGGAAUUGCAGUCGAAACUACUCGGCUAGAGUAUGGGAGAGGGCAGUGGAAUUCCCGGUGUAGCGGUGAAAUGCGCAGAUAUCAGGAGGAACACCGGUGGCGAAGGCGGUUCUCUGGGCAUUACCUGACGCUGAGGAGCGAAAGUGUGGGGAGCGAACAGG